UACGAAGGGGGCUAGCGUUGUUCGGAAUCACUGGGCGUAAAGCGCACGUAGGCGGAUCUUUAAGUCAGGGGUGAAAUCCCGAGGCUCAACCUCGGAACUGCCUUUGAUACUGGGGAUCUCGAGUCCGGGAGAGGUGAGUGGAACUGCGAGUGUAGAGGUGAAAUUCGUAGAUAUCGGGAGGAACACCAGUGGCGAAGGCGGCGAUCUGGGAAGAUACUGACGCUGAGGUGCGAAAGCGUGGGGAGCAAACAGG
rnacentral:rRNA from 1 species